rnacentral:rRNA from 1 species
AUCUCUGUAGAGUCUGCAUAUCAAUAAGCGGAGGAAAAGAAACUAACAAGGAUUCCCCUAGUAACGGCGAGUGAAGCGGGAAGAGCUCAAAUUUGAAAUCUUCAAGGUUUGACCUUGACGAAUUGUAGUUUAAAGAAGUGUUUUCGGUUAGAGGAGUAGUAAAAGUUCUUUGGAAUAGGACAUCAUAGAGGGUGAGAAUCCCGUAUUUGACUAUUCUUUCUAGCUUUGUGAUACACUUUCAAAGAGUCGGAUUGUUUGGGAAUGCAGUCCAAAAUGGGUGGUAAAUUUCAUCUAAAGCUAAAUAUUGGCGAGAGACCGAUAGCGGACAAGUACCGUGAGGGAAAGAUGAAAAGAACUUUGAAAAGAGAGUUAAACAGUACGUGAAAUUGUCAAAAGGGAAGCGUUCGACACCAGUGUUGUUUUUCCGAAAAUCAAUUAAAAAUUGAUUCAUGCCAGGUUGUAUUGACCUUAUCAGCUUGCAAUUUGGUUUUGGGUCUCUUUUUGAUGCACUUUUCGGUUAACAAGUCAACAUCAAUUUCUUUUGUUGUAAAAGAGUAUUCGGAAGGUGGCUUUCUUUUCGGAGAAAGUGUUUAUAGCCCUAUACUUCUACAAUCGGAGAGAUUGAGGUCUGCAGCGUAGAUCCUUCGGGGUUAGAUACACUUGUGCUAAGUUAUAGCUUUUCAUAGACAACUUGUUGACUAUGUUUAGUCAUGCGGCUUACUCGCUUGUGCUAUUUUACCUACGCUUAGGAUGUUGA